rnacentral:lncRNA from 1 species
CUCUACAUUCUCAGAGUAAAGCCCCUUUCCAAAUGAAGAGUCAGGAAGAAGUGGAGAUGAAGGGAAUUGAACUUGUGAAAACCAUGUCCCUGUAUCUUCUAGCAAGGAUUCAACAGACCAAAACUUGGAAGGAAUGUUGGCAUGGACAGAAAGAACUACAAGAAAAGCCUUCUGGUUGGUGCUUAGUGUGGAAAAGGAUUCACCGCCCCCCCCCCCCCCCUUCAGAAGAGAAGAAAGAAAAUCCCCUCUUUAAGAAAUUUUCAGUUUUCUCUGCCCUUGCAGUUGCAGGGUCUCUACCAGUUAGGCCACUCUGCCAGCCCUUUUUUGUUUGGUAUUUUUGAGAUAGGGUCUCAUGAACUAUUUACCCAGGCUGGCUUCCAAUCCUGUUUCUCCUGAUCUCUGCCUCCUGAGUAGCUAGGAUUACAUGUGUGAGCCACUGGUGCCUGGUUUCUCUUCUCUCUCUACUUGACCUCUCCUCUUUCUACUUGACCCUAAGGGUUGCUAUAUUCUUGGGUAGUGUAGAGUGCAGUGCAGUACAUUAGUCCCAGUUACCUGACUAGAGGACAAAAAAGGAGCUGCAGAGAAACCAAAAUCACUAGAGACAGUGCAGAGAGGGCAGGGCUUUAGAAGUUGAUGACAAAGUUGGUUAUUAGUUGUGGGCUGACUCUGAGCUACUCAUGCCUUUAUCUCACCCUAAAGAAUAUAACUACCACAAUCCUUACUGAGAAGUGAACUGAGGAACUGACAACCAGCCAUUCUCAAGAUGGCCACUGGGUGGUGCUGCACAAGCAAAUCGAGACACUACAAAGGCUUUGAUAAGAAACUGAUGCUUUAAAAAAAAAAAUUAGUAUAUAUUCGUUGUACAGGGGGCAUUUUAAAUAGGCUUGCAUUGUACGUUAGUUAGUUUGCCCCCUCCAUCUUCCCUCCCCCUUGCAACCUCUUCCCUGCCGCACUUAAAGCACUUGCAAGAGGUUUCACCAUUCUGUUUCAUGUAUGUAUAUGCAGCACAUCAACCAUAUUCCUCACCUUCAUCUCCUCCAUUUCCCAUCCCCCUCCAUAAACACAGUUCACAGAGAAGGCUGAUUGGAACUUGUAACCUAUACAAAAUGUUAACACUCUCCAUAGUAUUUAAACAUGCAAAGUCUUCUAACAUGUCUAAAAUGUCCAUUCAGUGCAAAAUUUCUCAUCAAGAAAAAACAAAACAACUGAAGAAUCUCAAUUCACAAAGGAAAAGGCAACAGAUACUAACAUCAGUAUGAUACAAAUGUUGGAAUCAUCUGACAGAUAUUUUAAAGUUGCCCUAAUAAAUGCUCCAAUGAGUAAGAUUAAGCA